UACGUAGGAGGCAAGCGUUAUCCGGAAUGACUGGGCGUAAAGGGUGCGUAGGUGGUUCAGCAAGUUAGUAGAGUAACUCCGGGGCUCAACCUCGGCACUACUACUAAAACUGUUGGACUUGAGUGCAGGAGGGGCAACUGGAAUUCCUAGUGUAGCGGUGGAAUGCGUAGAUAUCGCGCAGAACCCCGAUUGCGAAGGCAGCGUACCGGCUCCACACUGACGCUGAGGCACGAAAGCGUGGGUAUCGAACAGG
rnacentral:rRNA from 1 species